rnacentral:rRNA from 1 species
GGUUAAGCGACUAAGCGUACACGGUGGAUGCCCUGGCAGUCAGAGGCGAUGAAGGACGUGCUAAUCUGCGAUAAGCGUCGGUAAGGUGAUAUGAACCGUUAUAACCGGCGAUUUCCGAAUGGGGAAACCCAGUGUGUUUCGACACACUAUCAUUAACUGAAUCCAUAGGUUAAUGAGGCGAACCGGGGGAACUGAAACAUCUAAGUACCCCGAGGAAAAGAAAUCAACCGAGAUUCCCCCAGUAGCGGCGAGCGAACGGGGAGCAGCCCAGAGCCUGAAUCAGUGUGUGUGUUAGUGGAAGCGUCUGGAAAGGCGCGCGAUACAGGGUGACAGCCCCGUACACAAAAAUGCACAUGCUGUGAGCUCGAUGAGUAGGGCGGGACACGUGGUAUCCUGUCUGAAUAUGGGGGGACCAUCCUCCAAGGCUAAAUACUCCUGACUGACCGAUAGUGAACCAGUACCGUGAGGGAAAGGCGAAAAGAACCCCGGCGAGGGGAGUGAAAAAGAACCUGAAACCGUGUACGUACAAGCAGUGGGAGCACGCUUAGGCGUGUGACUGCGUACCUUUGUAUAAUGGGUCAGCGACUUAUAUUCUGUAGCAAGGUUAACCGAAUAGGGAGCCGAAGGGAAACCGAGUCUUAACUGGGCGUUAAGUUGCAGGGUAUAGACCCGAAACCCGGUGAUCUAGCCAUGGGCAGGUUGAAGGUUGGGUAACACUAACUGGAGGACCGAACCGACUAAUGUUGAAAAAUUAGCGGAUGACUUGUGGCUGGGGGUGAAAGGCCAAUCAAACCGGGAGAUAGCUGGUUCUCCCCGAAAGCUAUUUAGGUAGCGCCUCGUGAAUUCAUCUCCGGGGGUAGAGCACUGUUUCGGCAAGGGGGUCAUCCCGACUUACCAACCCGAUGCAAACUGCGAAUACCGGAGAAUGUUAUCACGGGAGACACACGGCGGGUGCUAACGUCCGUCGUGAAGAGGGAAACAACCCAGACCGCCAGCUAAGGUCCCAAAGUCAUGGUUAAGUGGGAAACGAUGUGGGAAGGCCCAGACAGCCAGGAUGUUGGCUUAGAAGCAGCCAUCAUUUAAAGAAAGCGUAAUAGCUCACUGGUCGAGUCGGCCUGCGCGGAAGAUGUAACGGGGCUAAACCAUGCACCGAAGCUGCGGCAGCGACACUAUGUGUUGUUGGGUAGGGGAGCGUUCUGUAAGCCUGUGAAGGUGUGCUGUGAGGCAUGCUGGAGGUAUCAGAAGUGCGAAUGCUGACAUAAGUAACGAUAAAGCGGGUGAAAAGCCCGCUCGCCGGAAGACCAAGGGUUCCUGUCCAACGUUAAUCGGGGCAGGGUGAGUCGACCCCUAAGGCGAGGCCGAAAGGCGUAGUCGAUGGGAAACAGGUUAAUAUUCCUGUACUUGGUGUUACUGCGAAGGGGGGACGGAGAAGGCUAUGUUGGCCGGGCGACGGUUGUCCCGGUUUAAGCGUGUAGGCUGGUUUUCCAGGCAAAUCCGGAAAAUCAAGGCUGAGGCGUGAUGACGAGGCACUACGGUGCUGAAGCAACAAAUGCCCUGCUUCCAGGAAAAGCCUCUAAGCAUCAGGUAACAUCAAAUCGUACCCCAAACCGACACAGGUGGUCAGGUAGAGAAUACCAAGGCGCUUGAGAGAACUCGGGUGAAGGAACUAGGCAAAAUGGUGCCGUAACUUCGGGAGAAGGCACGCUGAUAUGUAGGUGAAGCGACUUGCUCGUGGAGCUGAAAUCAGUCGAAGAUACCAGCUGGCUGCAACUGUUUAUUAAAAACACAGCACUGUGCAAACACGAAAGUGGACGUAUACGGUGUGACGCCUGCCCGGUGCCGGAAGGUUAAUUGAUGGGGUUAGCGCAAGCGAAGCUCUUGAUCGAAGCCCCGGUAAACGGCGGCCGUAACUAUAACGGUCCUAAGGUAGCGAAAUUCCUUGUCGGGUAAGUUCCGACCUGCACGAAUGGCGUAAUGAUGGCAGGCUGUCUCCACCCGAGACUCAGUGAAAUUGAACUCGCUGUGAAGAUGCAGUGUACCCGCGGCAAGACGGAAAGACCCCGUGAACCUUUACUAUAGCUUGACACUGAACAUUGAGCCUUGAUGUGUAGGAUAGGUGGGAGGCUUAGAAGUGUGGACGCCAGUCUGCAUGGAGCCGACCUUGAAAUACCACCCUUUAAUGUUUGAUGUUCUAACGUUGACCCGUAAUCCGGGUUGCGGACAGUGUCUGGUGGGUAGUUUGACUGGGGCGGUCUCCUCCUAAAGAGUAACGGAGGAGCACGAAGGUUGGCUAAUCCUGGUCGGACAUCAGGAGGUUAGUGCAAUGGCAUAAGCCAGCUUGACUGCGAGCGUGACGGCGCGAGCAGGUGCGAAAGCAGGUCAUAGUGAUCCGGUGGUUCUGAAUGGAAGGGCCAUCGCUCAACGGAUAAAAGGUACUCCGGGGAUAACAGGCUGAUACCGCCCAAGAGUUCAUAUCGACGGCGGUGUUUGGCACCUCGAUGUCGGCUCAUCACAUCCUGGGGCUGAAGUAGGUCCCAAGGGUAUGGCUGUUCGCCAUUUAAAGUGGUACGCGAGCUGGGUUUAGAACGUCGUGAGACAGUUCGGUCCCUAUCUGCCGUGGGCGCUGGAGAACUGAGGGGGGCUGCUCCUAGUACGAGAGGACCGGAGUGGACGCAUCACUGGUGUUCGGGUUGUCAUGCCAAUGGCACUGCCCGGUAGCUAAAUGCGGAAGAGAUAAGUGCUGAAAGCAUCUAAGCACGAAACUUGCCCCGAGAUGAGUUCUCCCUGACUCCUUGAGAGUCCUGAAGGAACGUUGAAGACGACGACGUUGAUAGGCCGGGUGUGUAAGCGCAGCGAUGCGUUGAGCUAACCGGUACUAAUGAACCGUGAGGCUUAACCUU